rnacentral:rRNA from 1 species
AUUGAACGCUGGCGGCAUGCCUUACACAUGCAAGUCGAACGGUAACAGGGAGCUUGCUCCGCUGACGAGUGGCGAACGGGUGAGUAAUGUAUCGGAACGUACCAUUCAGUGGGGGAUAACGUAGCGAAAGUUACGCUAAUACCGCAUAUUCUGUGAGCAGGAAAGCAGGGGAUCGCAAGACCUUGCGCUGAUUGAGCGGCCGAUAUCAGAUUAGCUAGUUGGUGAGGUAAAGGCUCACCAAGGCGACGAUCUGUAGCGGGUCUGAGAGGAUGAUCAGCCACACUGGAACUGAGACACGGUCCAGACUCCUACGGGAGGCAGCAGUAGGGAAUAUUGGACAAUGGGCGCAAGCCUGAUCCAGCCAUGCCGCGUGAGUGAAGAAGGCCCUCGGGUUGUAAAGCUCUUUCGGCCGGGAAGAAAUCGUAUGGGCUAAUACCCUGUGCGGAUGACGGUACCGGCAUAAGAAGCACCGGCUAA